GACGAACGCUGGCGGCGUGCUUAACACAUGCAAGUCGAGCGGUAAGGCCCUUUCGGGGGUACACGAGCGGCGAACGGGUGAGUAACACGUGGGUGACCUGCCCUCAGCUCUGGGAUAAGCCUGGGAAACCGGGUCUAAUAACCGGAUAUGACUCCAUGACGCAUGUUGUGGGGUGGAAAGCCUUGUGCGGCUGAGGAUGGGCCCGCGGCCUAUCAGCUUGUUGGUGGGGUGAUGGCCUACCAAGGCGACGACGGGUAGCCGGCCUGAGAGGGCGACCGGCCACACUGGGACUGAGACACGGCCCAGACUCCUACGGGAGGCAGCAGUGGGGAAUCUUGCGCAAUGGGCGAAAGCCUGACGCAGCGACGCCGCGUGAGGGAUGACGGCCUUUGGGUUGUAAACCUCUUUCAGCUCCGACGAAGCGAGAGUGACGGUAGGAGCAGAAGAAG
rnacentral:rRNA from 1 species